GCCAGACUCCUACGGGAGGCAGCAGUGGGGGAUAUUGCACAAUGGGGGGAACCCUGAUGCAGCGACGCCGCGUGGGUGAAGGAGCGUUUCGGCGCGUAAAGCCCUAUCGGCAGGGAAGAAGGAGGACGGUACCUGACUAAGAAGCCCCGGCUGACUACGUGCCAGCAGCCGCGGUAAUACGUAGGGGGCAAGCGUUAUCCGGAUUUACUGGGUGUAAAGGGGGCGCAGACGGCAGCGCAAGCCAGGAGUGAAAGCCCGGGGCCCAACCCCGGGACUGCUCUUGGAACUGCGCGGCUGGAGUGCAGGAGGGGCAGGCGGAAUUCCUGGUGUAGCGGUGAAAUGCGUAGAUAUCAGGAGGAACACCGGUGGCGAAGGCGGCCUGCUGGACUGCGACUGACGUUGAGGCCCGAAAGCGUGGGGAGCAAACAGGAUUAGAUACCCUAGUAGA
rnacentral:rRNA from 1 species